rnacentral:rRNA from 1 species
ACUUAGUGGCAGACGGGUGAGUAACAUGUGGGUAUCUACCCUUUGGCCUGGAAUAACACGAGGAAACUUGUGCUAAUACCGGAUAAGUCUUUACGGAGAAAGCUUUAUGCACCAUUGGAUGAGCCCGCACUUGAUUAGUUUGUUGGUAGGGUAAUGGCCUACCAAGACUAUGAUCAAUAGCUGAUUUGAGAGGAUGAUCAGCCACAUUGGGACUGAGACACGGCCCAAACUCCUACGGGAGGCAGCAGUGGGGAAUCUUGCACAAUGGAGGAAACUCUGAUGCAGCGAUGCCGCGUGAGUGAAGAAGGCCUUUGGGUUGUAAAGCUCUUUCGUCGGGGAAGAAAAUGACUGUACCCGAAUAAGAAGGUCCGGCUAACUUCGUGCCAGCAGCCGCGGUAAUACGAAGGGACCUAGCGUAGUUCGGAAUUACUGGGCUUAAAGAGUUCGUAGGUGGUUGAAAAAGUUGGUGGUGAAAUCCCAGAGCUUAACUCUGGAACUGCCAUCAAAACUUUUCAGCUAGAGUAUGAUAGAGGAAAGCAGAAUUUCUAGUGUAGAGGUGAAAUU